rnacentral:rRNA from 1 species
AAGUCUCUUGGAAAGAGCGUCUAGUGGUGAGAACCCACUACACGAUGCGGAUGCCUAUUACUUUGUGAUACACUUUCGAAGAGUCGAGUUGUUUGGGAAUGCAGCUCAAAUUGGGUGGUAAAUUCCAUCUAAAGCUAAAUAUUGGCGAGAGACCGAUAGCGAACAAGUACCGUGAGGGAAAGAUGAAAAGCACUUUGGAAAGAGAGUUAACAGUACGUGAAAUUGUUGGAAGGGAAACACAUGCAGUGAUACUUGCUAUUCGGGGCAACUCGAUUGGCAGGCCCGCAUCAGUUUUUCGGGGCGGAAAAUCAUAGAGAGAAGGUAGCAGUCUCGGCUGUGUUAUAGCUCUUUAUUGGAUUCGCCCUGGGGGACUGAGGAACGCAGCGUGCUUUUUGCAUGAGCUUCGGCUUAUCCACGCUUAGGAUGCGGGUUUAUGGCUGUAUAUGACCCGUCUUG